UUUCCGUAGGUGAACCUGCGGAGGGAUCAUUACAGAGUUCAUGCCCUACCGGGUAGAUCUCCCACCCUAUGUUAUUAUUACUUUGUUGCUUUGGCGGGCCGUUAGGCUCCGGCCCGACUACCAGCCCCGGCUGGUAAGCGCCCGCCAGAGGACCCAAAACCCUGAAUAUUAGUGUCGUCUGAGUACUAUAUAAUAGUUAAAACUUUCAACAACGGAUCUCUUGGUUCUGCCAUCGAUGAAGAACGCAGC
rnacentral:misc_RNA from 1 species